AGGUGGGAGUCGGUCGGCCGGAAGUGGGAGGAGCAUAACAGGAAGCGCGGAUUUACGAUAUUAGAGACCGAUGUUUGCCAAGAUGACCAGUGUUGAAAGCCUGACCCCAGCUGGACUUUACUGAAAGAAGAAACAACAUUUGACUCCAGUGCAAGGCAGUCUAAGAUGAUUUCCUUCAAAACCUUUUUGACGGCCCCUAUAGACACCCAGAUUCAUCUCACCUGCACCUCGGAGUCUUAUAUAAAAUGACCCCGGAAAAAACAGCACUGCAACCUUAAACCCAAACAGCUCAAAAACACCUCAUGCAGUUGUAUGUGAGAGAUGUCGCCUGUCCACAGAUCUUACCUGUACCUCUUGGCAUCACCUGCUUGUC